rnacentral:tRNA from 1 species
GCUUUGUCAGUGUAAUGGUUCGCAUAUUUCCCUGUCGAGGAAAAGGAAGGAGUUCGAUUCUCCUACAGAGCGCCA